CAGUUUAAAAUUGAAUUGCCAUGGCCUAGAGCAAAGAAUAUCCUUACAUGAUAUUGUUCUACAAGCGUAUUGUACAUUUAUCCCAAACAAACUUACAAACUAAUUCUUUGAAUGUUUGGCAGCAAUUUAAUAAGGACAUGAAAGGAUUUAAUCCCUUCCACUGUGUGGAAGGCCCCCUGAGAAGGCACUUGAGCAUUCUGUAUUGACCUCUCUUGCCCUUUUUGCCAAGAGGGUCCCUCUUCUUACAAUCCAAUUGCCCACAGCUGUUGCCUGAGCUCUGUUCAUGCUGAGGUUGAAGCCUCGUGGUGGCUGGUAUCAUGGAUCUGUCUCUCGCCCAAUG